rnacentral:rRNA from 1 species
CCUACGGGUGGCAGCAGUCGAGAAUCAUUCACAAUGGGGGAAACCCUGAUGGUGCGACGCCGCGUGGGGGAAUGAAGGUCUUCGGAUUGUAAACCCCUGUCAUGUGGGAGCAAAUUAAAAAGAUAGUACCACAAGAGGAAGAGACGGCUAACUCUGUGCCAGCAGCCGCGGUAAUACAGAGGUCUCAAGCGUUGUUCGGAAUCACUGGGCGUAAAGCGUGCGUAGGCUGUUUCGUAAGUCGUGUGUGAAAGGCCCGGGCUCAACCCGCGGACGGCACAUGAUACUGCGAGACUAGAGUAAUGGAGGGGGAACCGGAAUUCUCGGUGUAGCAGUGAAAUGCGUAGAUAUCGAGAGGAACACUCGUGGCGAAGGCGGGUUCCUGGACAUUAACUGACGCUGAGGCACGAAGGCCAGGGGAGCGAAAGGGAUUAGAUACCCGGGUAGUC